CCUACGGGAGGCAGCAGUGGGGAAUAUUGGACAAUGGGCGAAAGCCUGAUCCAGCCAUGCCGCGUGUGUGAAGAAGGCCUUCGGGUUGUAAAGCACUUUCAGUGGGGAAGAAAGCCUUGGGGCUAAUACCCUCGAGGAAGGACAUCACCCACAGAAUAAGCACCGGCUAACUCCGUGCCAGCAGCCGCGGUAAUACGGAGGGUGCGAGCGUUAAUCGGAAUUACUGGGCGUAAAGCGCGCGUAGGCGGUCUGAUAAGCCGGUUGUGAAAGCCCCGGGCUCAACCUGGGAACGGCAUCCGGAACUGUCAGGCUAGAGUGCGGCAGAGGAAGGUAGAAUUCCCGGUGUAGCAGUGAAAUGCGUAGAGAUCGGGAGGAAUACCAGUGGCGAAGGCGGCCUUCUGGACUGACACUGACGCUGAGGUGCGAAAGCGUGGGUAGCAAACAGGAUUAGAUACCCCAGUAGUC
rnacentral:rRNA from 1 species